CCUACGGGUGGCAGCAGUGGGGAAUAUUGCACAAUGGGGGAAACCCUGAUGCAGCGACGCCGCGUGAAGGAAGAAGUAUUUCGGUAUGUAAACUUCUAUCAGCAGGGAAGAAAAUGACGGUACCUGACUAAGAAGCCCCGGCUAACUACGUGCCAGCAGCCGCGGGAAUACGUAGGGGGCAAGCGUUAUCCGGAUUUACUGGGUGUAAAGGGAGCGUAGGCGGGUUAGCAAGUCAGAAGUGAAAGCUCGGGGCUCAACUCCGGGACUGCUUUUGGAACUGCGCGGCUGGAGUGCAGGAGGGGCAGGCGGAAUUCCUGGUGUAGCGGUGAAAUGCGUAGAUAUCAGGCGGAACACCGGUGGCGAAGGCAGCCUGCUGGACUGCAACUGACGUUGAGGCACGAAAGCGUGGGGAGCAAACAGGAUUAGAUACCCGUGUAGUC
rnacentral:rRNA from 1 species